rnacentral:rRNA from 1 species
CCCGCUGGAUUUAAGCAUAUUAUUAAGCGGAGGAAGAGAAACUAACAAAGAUUGACAGAGUAAGGGCGACUGAAAUGUCAAAAGCUCAGCAUGUGAAUCAGCAUUUAUUUCUAUAAGUGCUGAAUUGUGGUCUUACGGUUCUUGCAGCACUUAGUCCAGGCCAUGUUUUUUGGAAUAAAAUAGCAAAGAGGGUGAAACUCCCGUUUGUCUGGACUUACGACGCAAGGAUUAUUGAGUCGAGUUGUUUGGGAUUGCAGCUCAAAUGCGGUGGUAAAUUCCAUCUCAAGCUAAAUACUGGCAGGAGACCAAUAGCGAAAAAGUACCGUGAGGGAAAGAUGAAAAGAACUUUGAAAAGAGAGUGAAAGAGUACCUGAAAUUGCUGAAAAGGAAGCGAACGAAGCUAGUGAACGCUGCGUCAUAUUUUCCAUAUUGCUCGCAAUUUGGACGCUGUGGCCGGCCGAGUUCGGCUUGAUUGCGAUUUGUGAAAGCAGGCAGAGAAAAGCUUCCAUUUUCCUUGCCGUAUGCACAAGUUGCAAUUGAGCUGAACAAAAUAGAUUUGUUUGCCCCGUCUAGAAACACGGACCAAGGAGUCUAACAUAUGUGCGAGUACUGGGGUAGCCAACCUCGGUGCGGAAUGAAAGUAUCAGAGGCUAGAAUGAAGUGCAUUUGCACAGUCCGCCGGCCUCCAUCCCUCGGGAAAAUGGUCUGAGUGUGAGCAUACAUGUUGGGACCCGAAAGAUGGUGAACUAUGCUUGAGUAGGGUGAAGCCAGGGGAAACUUUGGUGAAGGCUCGCAGCGAUUCUGACGUGCAAAUCGAUCGUCAAACUUGAGUAUAGGGGCGAAAGACUAAUCGAACUAUCUAGUAGCUGGUUCCCUCCGAAAUUUCCCUUAGGAUAGCUGCAAUCUCAUGAGAAAGCCAGUUUUGUCAGGUAAAGCG